rnacentral:rRNA from 1 species
AGAGCUUGCUCUCGGGUGACGAGUGGCGGACGGGUGAGUAAUGUCUGGGAAACUGCCUGAUGGAGGGGGAUAACUACUGGAAACUAGUAGCUAAUACCGCAUAACGUCGCAAGACCAAAGAGGGGGACCUUCGGGCCUCUUGCCAUCAGAUGUGCCCAGAUGGGAUUAGCUAGUAGGUGGGGUAACGGCUCACCUAGGCGACGAUCCCUAGCUGGUCUGAGAGGAUGACCAGCCACACUGGAACUGAGACACGGUCCAGACUCCUACGGGAGGCAGCAGUGGGGAAUAUUGCACAAUGGGCGCAAGCCUGAUGCAGCCAUGCCGCGUGUAUGAAGAAGGCCUUCGGGUUGUAAAGUACUUUCAGCGGGGAGGAAGGCGAUAAGGUUAAUAACCUUGUCGAUUGACGUUACCCGCAGAAGAAGCACCGGCUAACUCCGUGCCAGCAGCCGCGGUAAUACGGAGGGUGCAAGCGUUAAUCGGAAUUACUGGGCGUAAAGCGCACGCAGGCGGUCUGUCAAGUCGGAUGUGAAAUCCCCGGGCUCAACCUGGGAACUGCAUUCGAAACUGGCA